CCUAAAACAUUAACAAACCAUUAGAAUUUAUGAGUGUUUUCACAUAUCAGUGUUUCAUGGAAGUAUUAACAACCAAAAUUUCUAGUUCAUUUACUAAUUUGAAUCACAAAUUUGCAUUUUCCAAAACUACUGAACUUAAAACCAAAUUCAAGCACAAGCAGAGGUUCUCCAAGAAUUUGAUCUCACGACCCCUUUGCACUCUUGAAAAUUACUGAGAACGCCAAGAUGCUUUUGUUUUAUAUCUCCUGAUUUUACUGUUCUGGAAAUCAAGCUGUAAUUAUUUAAAAUAUAUAUUUGUUCAUUCAGUUAAACAUAAUAUGAAUAAACCCAUUAUGUUAAUAUAAAUAGCAUUUUUAUGAAAACUAAUUUACAUGUUUUCAAAAAACUAAGUGAAAAGAGUGUACUGUUUUACAUUUUACAAAUCUCUUUCAUAUCCGCCCUAAAGACAACAGAGCUGGAUUCUCAUAUUUGUUUCUGUACUCUAUUUAUCGUGAUAUUCCAUGUCAUGCAGUUUCUAGAGCACCCCACCACAUACUCAUGAAUGAAUGAGAGUGAAAAGGGCAAAUAACAUCUUUGAUUCGUGACAAAACUAGUUUUGGAAUCACGGAGCUCCCACAGGGUGUCCUGGACUCCCAGGGACGGGUCCUGCAGCCAUACUCUGAGAACCACUGAUAAACUGAAUCAGAUGUCCAGCUGAUGAGUGAAUGACCAUUCUGGACACCAUGAAUACAGCUGUGAACAGAGACCCAGUCCUCACUCUUAGGGAGCUGCCAUCCCACUGGCUGGCAGGACGUCAGGGCUGACCUAGCACAAAGCCUCACUGAUGACCUUCUGAGGCAUUGGCACCUGCUUUUAAUAUGAGGGGGUUCAUGUGUACCCUCUCUUCUCACACUGGACAGGCAUUGCUCAGAUCUGUUUCCUUGGACUGUGUGUGUAUACCACCUACACAUAUACGGUACAGGUCUGCGUGUGUACAUCAACUACACGUAUAUAGUGCACAUCUGUGUGCAUACUACUAUACAUAUAUAGUACAGGUCUGCGUGUGUAUACCAACUACAUGUAUAUAGUGCACAUCUGUGUGUAUACCACCAUACAUAUAUAGUGCACAUCUGUGUGUAUACCACUAUACAUAUAUAGUGCACGUCUGCAGGUGUAUACCAACUAUACCACUAUACAUAUAUAGUGCACAUCUGUGUGUAUACCACUAUACAUAUAUAGUGCAGGUCUGUGUGUGUAUACCAACUACAUGUAUAUAGUGCACAUCUGUGUGUAUACUACUAUACAUAUACAGUACAGGUCUGUGUGUGUAUACCAACUACAUGUAUAUAGUGCACAUCUGUGUGUAUACCACUAUACAUAUAUAGUGCAGGUCUGUGUGUGUAUACCAACUACAUGUAUAUAGUGCACAUCUGUGUGUAUACUACUAUACAUAUACAGUACAGGUCUGUGUGUGUAUACCAACUACAUGUAUAUAGUGCACAUCUGUGUGUAUACCACUAUACAUAUAUAGUGCAGGUCUGUGUGUGUAUACCAACUACAUGUAUAUAGUGCACAUCUGUGUGUAUACCACUAUACAUAUAUAGUGCAGGUCUGUGUGUGUAUACCAACUACAUGUAUAUAGUGCACAUCUGUGUGUAUACUACUAUACAUAUACAGUACAGGUCUGUGUGUGUAUACCAACUACAUGUAUAUAGUGCACAUCUGUGUGUAUACCACUAUACAUAUAUAGUGCAGGUCUGUGUGUGUAUACCAACUACAUGUAUAUAGUGCACAUCUGUGUGUAUACUACUAUACAUAUAUAGUACAGGUCUGUGUGUGUAUACCAACUACAUGUAUAUAGUGCACAUCUGUGUGUAUACCACUAUACAUAUAUAGUGCAGGUCUGUGUGUGUAUACCAACUACAUGUAUAUAGUGCACAUCUGGGCAUAUACCACUAUACAUAUAUAGUGCACGUCUGCAUGUGUAUACCAACUACAUGUAUAUAGUGCACAUCUGUGUGUAUACCACUAUACAUAUAUAGUGCAGGUCUGUGUGUGUAUACCAACUACAUUUAUAUAGUGCACGUCUGUGUGUAUACCACUUACACAUACAUAGUGCACGUCUGUGUGUAUACCACUAUACAUAUAUAGUACACGUCUGUGUGUGUGUACUGCUACACAUAUAUAGUCUGUGUGUAUAGCAUGUCUGUGUAUGUAUGUGUAUACCAACUACAUGUAUAAAUCUGCUAAUAUAUUUAAGAUAAUUUUAACUAAAUGUAUGUAGUCUUUUAUAAUAUUCUAAAACUUGAUGUUUUUAUUUAUUAUACACAUCUUUUCAUACACAUAAGAGGAGUUUUCAAAAAAAGUCAUGGAACACAUGUAUUCUGAAGAAAACUGCAUGUAUCUGAAACUUUUUUGUACCAAAAUACUCAUUUUUUAGGUCCAUUUUUCCAUGAGCUUGUGGAAGUAUCCUUGUACAUGCCUGCAACAUUCUUAAAUAACAACUGCUUCAUGUUCUAUUAUCUAGAUAACUACAAUUUAUUUCCAUACUGCUGGAUAUUUAGGCUAUCAGAAUCUAAAGUUUUUAAACAUUUAUUUUAGAGAGAGUGAGCAAGAAAGAGUACUUCCACACACUGGUUCACUCCCCCAGAUUCCUGCAACAGUGACCAGGGCUGGAACCAGAAGCUAGGAACACAAACCAGGUCUCCCACAGAGGGGACAGGGACCCAGGAAUCUCAGCCAUCACAAGUGCUCCUUCCCAGGGCCUGCAACAGCAGGAAGCUGCCAGUGGGAGCUAGAGCCAAGCACCUUAACCAGUGUCCUAACAACAGACCAAAUGCCUUCUAUUUUAAUAUAUUUUGAAAUUAUAAAACAAUGCUGAAAUGGAUAACCAUAUCCAUAUUCAUUUUUACCAAUUUUUUUUUCAGAAACUGAUUUAAAUUUAAAAUACAGAAGUUUUCUGACUUAGAUUGGGGUUACACCCCAAUAAGCUCACUGUACGUUGAAAAUACUGUAAACCGAAAAUACAUUUCAGGGGCUGGUGCUGUGGUGCCGCGGGUUAAGCCACUGCCUGCAGUGCCGGCAUCCCAUAUGGGCACCGGUUCAAUUUCCGGCUGCCCUGCUUCAGAUUCUGCUCCCUCUAAUGGCCUGGGAAAACAGCGGAAGAUGGCCCAAGUGCCUGGACCCUUGCCAUCCAUGUGGGACACAUCCAUGUGGGCUCCUGGUUUUGACUUCGCCCAGUCCCAUCUGUUGUGGCAAUUUGGGGAAUGAACCUGUAGAUGAAGAUCUCUCUCAAUCUCUCCCUCUCUGUGCCUUCCUGCUCUCUCUGUAACUGUGUGUGUAUGUAAAAGACAAUACAUUUCAGGCAUGUAAGCUAUUGAACAUCAUAGCUUAGCAACACAGUACACUGUAGGAUUUCAGCUGAUCACCCUUGUAAUUUGUGGCUGACUGGGUGGGUGCUAGCUGCAGCUCACUGCCACUGUCCAGAGCUAGUUUCUACUGAACACGUAUCACUGUCAUACCAUCAUCAAAUCAUAAAAAUCCCAAGUUGGGAACCAUCAUAAAUUAGGACUAUCUGUAUUGUUAGCUCUUAUACAAAUCUUCAAAAAAGUUUUAUCAAUUUGUAUUCCUAUCAAUAAUAUAUGAUAGUGUUCAUGUUUAUCAUCUUUUUAAUGCCUGCUAAUCUUAGCUAAAAAUGAUAUCAACUCUUUAUGUUACACAUUAUUAAUUAUUUGUGAGGUUAGACACAUUUUCAUAUAAUUAUUAGCCAUUUGAAUUUCUCACUCUUAAUUACCUGACUGUAUUCUUUGCCCAUUGUAUUACUGAAUUAUUUCCAUGUUUAAAAUGUAUUUACUAGACUACUUCCAUAACAUUUACUGUCUGCUCCAUAAAGUACUAACGUUUGUUCCCAGUGUGUUACUUGCUUUUGUUUCUGGUCACUGGCACCUCAUGGAAAUUUCUAAUUUCCAGGUUUCCUUUCAUGUUGUAUUUAGAGAGGGCUUCCCCAUUCUAGUAUUAUAGAAAUAUCCACAGGGAUGGCAUUGUGGCGUAGUGGGUUAA